CACGUAGGGCGCAAGCGUUGUCCGGAAUUAUUGGGCGUAAAGAGCUCGUAGGCGGUCUGUUGCGUCCGCUGUGAAAACCCGGGGCUUAACCCCUGGCUUGCAGUGGAUACGGACAGACUAGAGGUAGGUAGGGGAGAAUGGAAUUCCCGGUGUAGCGGUGAAAUGCGCAGAUAUCGGGAGGAACACCGGUGGCGAAGGCGGUUCUCUGGGCCUUACCUGACGCUGAGGCGCGAAAGCGUGGGGAGCAAACGGG
rnacentral:rRNA from 1 species